ACUUACAGCUCCGACUCCUCCUAUAUUUAUGUGGCCUGGUAUCGGCAGCGUCCCGGCAGGGCCCUGCAGUACAUUGUGCAGAGCAAGGGCCGGGGAGGCUCAUACAGCCACUCAGCUCCUCUGGCCCACAAGAGGUUUUCUGGGCGGGCUGAUGAGAGCUCGGGCACCUUGAGCAUCGCGGCGCUGGAAGAGGCCGACAGUGCGCUCUAUUACUGCAGCCUGCAGGGAGCACG